rnacentral:misc_RNA from 1 species
UACUCUCUCAGAGUGACAAUGACCUGUCUUUUCAAUUUUCAUCUUCCUGAAUCUUUAUUUGCAAACAUUAGAUGAUUCAUUUUCAAGUUUCCUUUGGUUUCUUUGACAAAACACCGAAUCUUUGUCUGAUAUUAAAUUUUUGUCUUCAUUUUCUUUUUUUUUUUGGAAGGGGGGUUGGGGGGAGAGGCUCAUGGUUCUACAUUCUCAUUUUAAAGAAAUUCCUUUGUAUUUUUAAUAAUCACGAUAUACCAUUUGUGAUUUUAAUCA